CAAUUGGAGAGUUUGAUCCUGGCUCAGAUUGAACGCUGGCGGCAUGCCUAACACAUGCAAGUCGAACGCGAAAGGGGGCAACCCUGAGUAGAGUGGCGGACGGGUGAGUAACGCGUAGGAAUCUGCCCAGUAGUGGGGGAUAACCCGGCGAAAGCCGGGCUAAUACCGCAUAUGCCCUAAGGGGUAAAGCAGGGGAUCUUCGGACCUUGCGCUAUUGGAUGAGCCUGCGUCGGAUUAGCUAGUUGGUGGGGUAAAGGCCCACCAAGGCGACGAUCCGUAGCUGGUCUGAGAGGAUGAUCAGCCACACUGGGACUGAGACACGGCCCAGACUCCUACGGGAGGCAGCAGUGGGGAAUAUUGGACAAUGGGGG
rnacentral:rRNA from 1 species